GGGGGCGAUAGGUUUCGACUGAUUUGUAGGUGUAUAAGAUGCAUGUCGGGUUUGAGAAGUCCCGUAAACUUUCUCAAAACUUUUUAAGUGCCGAAGAUAAUUUAGCACUCGCAGCUUAAUCUAAGCUGCCGUCUGGCAUUAGGGUUGGCCCCAAGGGUCUCUUGUCGGGCGUAAACUUACUUGGGGUUAGCCGAAAAUCUGCCUUGUAUUUUCGGUGAAACUUUAAAGGAUAGGGAGAUGCCAAUGGAUUUGUUUGUGUUCCUCAACAUCUUCUGAACCAUUAAAACACGAACUAAGCAUGUAGACGCUUGUCACGUCUAGUUUCAGGACGCGGGUUCAAAUCCCGCCGCCUCCA
rnacentral:tmRNA from 1 species